rnacentral:rRNA from 1 species
AGAACGAACGCUGGCGGCAUGCCUAAUACAUGCAAGUCGAACGAACACUUCGGUGUUAGUGGCGCACGGGUGCGUAACGCGUGGGAAUCUGCCCUUGGGUUCGGAAUAACAGUUGGAAACGACUGCUAAUACCGGAUGAUAUCGAAAGAUUAAAGAUUUAUCGCCCAGGGAUGAGCCCGCGUAGGAUUAGCUAGUUGGUGAGGUAAAGGCUCACCAAGGCGACGAUCCUUAGCUGGUCUGAGAGGAUGGUCAGCCACACUGGGACUGAGACACGGCCCAGACUCCUACGGGAGCAGCAGUAGGGAAUAUUGGACAAUGGGCGCAAGCCUGAUCCAGCAAAUGCCGCGUGAGUGAUGAAAGGCCUUAGGGUUGUAAAAGCUCUUUUACCCGAGAUGAAUAAUGACAGUAUCGGGAGAAAUAACGCCCCGCUUAAACCUCCGUCGCCGAAGCCGAGCCGAC